rnacentral:rRNA from 1 species
GCAGUGGGGAAUAUUGGACAAUGGGCGCAAGCCUGAUCCAGCAAUGCCGCGUGAGUGAUGAAGGCCUUCGGGUCGUAAAGCUCUUUUACCAGGGAUGAUAAUGACAGUACCUGGAGAAUAAGCUCCGGCUAACUCCGUGCCAGCAGCCGCGGUAAUACGGAGGGAGCUAGCGUUGUUCGGAAUUACUGGGCGUAAAGCGCACGUAGGCGGCGACACAAGUCAGAGGUGAAAGCCCGGGGCUCAACCCCGGAACUGCCUUUGAAACUAGGUUGCUAGAAUCUUGGAGAGGUCAGUGGAAUUCCGAGUGUAGAGGUGAAAUUCGUAGAUAUUCGGAAGAACACCAGUGGCGAAGGCGACUGACUGGACAAGUAUUGACGCUGAGGUGCGAAAGCGUGGGGAGCAAACAGGAUUAGAUACCCCAGUAGUCC